AAUAGACAAAAUGCCAGUGAGACAACUGACAAAAAUGAGAUAAAUCUCCGGGCAACGAAAUCGAAUCAAAGCAAUGUUUAAUGAUAUGUGCCAGUUUAUGUGGAGGAUGGUGAAUACAAACAAGGUUUCGUUUGGUGAGUUAGGUGAAAUCCCAAAAUGCCCUAUUUUUAUAACCUAAGUUCCACGGACUCUUCACUUUUGAUGCCGCACCCGUGUCGGAUUCUCCAAAAAUACACUACUUUUGGAGAAUCCGACACGCACCAGUUGACAUUUUUGAAGAGUUCGAGCAACAUAGCUCUACUAGACCUGCUCAAACAACGAUAAAUCCCCUUAGCCCUCAUUUGCAGCGAUUGUCAAAGGUGAAUCUGCCUGAGACAAAGAUGGUGAAAAAUAGGAGGAAUUUCUGGAGUCAAAUCCCACUGAAGGAGACAACGAAAAUAGCACCUCAUCUUCGAUGCCCUAAUGAGAACAGAUAUAAAACCAAGCAAAGGGAUAACGAAAGGGAAGAAAAGAAGCAGAUUGCUGACGGAAAGAAACAAGAAAAUGCAGAGAAGGAGAGAUCAACUGCAAGAAAAGAAGGUAAAGGUAAAGAGGUUGCAGCCUAAUUUUUAUGAAAGGUUGCUGCAACCUUACUAAAUUUAGUUAAGCAAACAAUGAUGUGUGUUGUGUACUGGAGUAGAGGACGUUAGUUGGAUGUCAGGGAAAAUGUGGAGGGAAAGUAAGGCAUUAAAAGAAACAAACUCCAACAAUUAGAGGAUUUCAAUUAUCCCUUUUUCGUAAAAUUAGAUGGUCUUCCUGAACGGGCCUUUUAUUUGUAGGUAACACAGACGGAGCGAACCAUGAAGGUUAUGAAGUUACAAAUGAAGAGCAAUUUGAAGAAGGACCUUUAAUCUAUGUAUUGACCCCUAAUCGAAUUGUUUGGGAUUCAGAAGUGGAAGAAAUUGUAUUAUCUACUAAAAAUGGUCAAAUCGGCAUAUAAGCUAGCUGAGACACAUCAUAUGAUAUAAUAGACAAAAUGCCAGUGAGACAACUGACAAAAAUGAGAUAAAUCUCCGGGCAACGAAAUCGAAUCAAAGCAAUGUUUAAUGAUAUGUGCCAGUUUAUGUGGAGGAUGGUGAAUACAAACAAGGUUUCGUUUGGUGAGUUAGGUGAAAUCCCAAAAUGCCCUAUUUUUAUAACCUAAGUUCCACGGACUCUUCACUUUUGAUGCCGCACCCGUGUCGGAUUCUCCAAAAAUACACUACUUUUGGAGAAUCCGACACGCACC
rnacentral:lncRNA from 1 species